ensembl:snRNA U6 U6 spliceosomal RNA
UCUGAAAUACUAAUUAAAAGCAGAUUAUCGUUGGAACGAGAAAAGAGAAUAUUAGCAUGGCCCCUGCGCAAGGAUGACACGCAAAUUCGUGAAGCGUUCCAUAUUUUU